rnacentral:rRNA from 1 species
GGGAAUAUUGGACAAUGGGCGAAAGCCUGAUCCAGCUACGCCGCGUGGGUGAAGAAGGCCUUCGGGUUGUAAAGCUCUGUCGGGAGGAACGAAGCCUUCGGGUUGACGGUACCUCGCAAGAAAGCACCGGCUA